rnacentral:rRNA from 1 species
AGUGAACGCUGGCGGUAGGCCUAACACAUGCAAGUCGAACGGCAGCACAGGAGAGCUUGCUCUCUAGGUGGCGAGUGGCGGACGGGUGAGGAAUACAUCGGAAUCUGCCCAGUCGUGGGGGAUAACGUAGGGAAACUUACGCUAAUACCGCAUACGACCUUCGGGGGAAAGAGGGGGAUCGCAAGACCUCUCGCGAUUGGAUGAGCCGAUGUCGGAUUAGCUAGUUAGCGGGGUAAUGGCCCACCAAGGCGACGAUCCGUAGCUGGUCUGAGAGGAUGAUCAGCCACACUGGAACUGAGACACGGUCCAGACUCCUACGGGAGGCAGCAGUGGGGAAUAUUGGACAAUGGGCGCAAGCCUGAUCCAGCCAUACCGCGUGGGUGAAGAAGGCCUUCGGGUUGUAAAGCCCUUUUGUUGGGAAAGAAAUCUUUCAGGCUAAUACCCUGGGAGGAUGACGGUACCCAAAGAAUAAGCACCGGCUAACUUCGUG